rnacentral:misc_RNA from 1 species
AGGGAGCGCCACCCGAUGCUUGUUCUGUUGUAUUAUCAUUCUGAGAAUUCGCAGUACCAACUUUUGCCUUCUGCUUCUUGGAAGUCUUACUGCGAGGAGUGUCCUCUGAUCCUUCAUUUGUCGUAUGAACUUUUUUAGUUGGUUCACUAGAUUUUUUUCCACUGGUGUCCUGUAUCAACAAUUCUUCUUCACUCUUAUCUAUUGCAUGACCUUUUUCUCCAUUUAGACAUUGCUUUGGUUGUUCCAAUUUCUCAACCCCAUUGCAGGAAGCAAUGAUACUAUUAGAUUCAGUUCCAAGUGG